GAUGAACGCUGGCGGUAUGCUUAACACAUGCCAGUCGAACGGACUCUUCGGAGUUAGUGGCGGACGGGUGAGUAACGCGUGAGAAUCUGGCUUUGGGUUCGGGACAACCACUGGAAACGGUGGCUAAUACCGGAUGUGCCGAGAGGUAAAAGAGAAAUUGCCUGAAGAUGAGCUCGCGUCUGAUUAGCUAGUUGGUGAGGUAAAGGCUCACCAAGGCAGCGAUCAGUAGCUGGUCUGAGAGGAUGACCAGCCACACUGGGACUGAGACACGGCCCAGACUCCUACGGGAGGCAGCAGUGGGGAAUGAUCCGCAAUGGGCGAAAGACUGACGGAGCAAUACCGCGUGAGGGAAGAAGGCUCUUGGGUUGUAAACAUCUUUUCUUAGGGAAGAACAAAAUGACGGUACCUAAGGAAUCAGCAUCGGCUAACUCCGUG
rnacentral:rRNA from 1 species